UGCGAGCGUCGUGUCUCUUAAGUUGCUUCCUGCUGUCUAGAGGCGUUGUCAAUCUCGGGGUGUAGCUGGCUUUCACCAUCAGGGUCCACUUGGUAAACAUUUGCAUCAGGUUCCUCUGUGGACAGCAGCUGGUAAUCCUGGAACAGGAACUGAUUAAUAGUUUGGUUAGAAAUGUCUUGCAUCUGUUGUUGAAGGAAUCUAGAGACAAGAUUCAUGAGGCAGGGAGCGAAUAGUAAUGCCAGAAAGAUGACUAAGAAAGGUGUCAUGAGAGGGAGUAUCCACUUCCACAUAGGCUUUUCGAAAGUCCGGGAAUCGGAGGCCUCACGUUCCCUGCAUGUCUGAUUGUAGCUGCUGGAUUUUAUUCUCACUAUCUCGGAGUGGUUGAUGUAGAAACAGCGUUCUUCUUGGAGAAACAGGCAAAGACCACCUUCCCGAACUGUCAAGACAUCCAGCUCCCAUGAGUUCUGAAGCACCACAGCUGUCAAAGAAUCAAUCUGCUUCUGGGUGAGGUGAUCUGCAACCGUAAAGCUGGUUCCUGACUGUAAAGCCGGUUCUUGAUGCCAACACCAAGGGUGGAGUGAAGUCCCAUGAAGCAACACUGAUGAACAAGACCAAGGUGGAGUGAGGUCCCAUGAUGCAACACUGAUGAACAAGACCAAGGUGGAGCCAAGUCCCACGAUGCAACACUGACAGGACCAAGGUGGAGCAAUUUCCCAUGAUGCAUCAUUGACAGGAUCAAGGUGGAGGAAAGUCCCACUGAUGGGCAGGAUCAAGGGUGGAGCGAAGUCCCACGAUAUAACACUGAUAGGCACUGGCAGAAAGAGCGUGGCUUCAUUGCUUGCCGAGUGUAGCUUAGAUCCCCACCCACAGGCACGACUUACCAUAUCCUUGCCCUGAAUCAUCAAGUCUGGGAGUGGAUAGGAUAUAAGGUAGAAAGAACUAAUAUACACAAAAGACGUCUUUUUCUGAUCAUAAAAAUGCACGCACGUCUUUCAAAAAGUCUAGAGGCAAGAGAUGACUUACUUAGUCAUGAUAUAUUUUAGGAAUCCGUUAGUCUCCGCAUCGGCUAGGAAGAGAUUCCUGGAAAUCCGAAAGUGAGACUGUCGGGAAGAGGUCUCAGGAGAAUAACAACAAUGAUGACCACUUGCUGCCGCUGUUCCAGAUGCAGUGUGAUCAGCUGCCUCAUGCUCCUGCUGCCAUGUCUUCUCCGCCAUGAUGGGCUGUGCGUUCAAACUACCAGGGCUUCACGUGUACUAAAUACUCAGGCAGUGAGCUAUCUCCAGCCCUAAGCCAUUUCCUAAGACUGCAGAUGAGGACAGUUCCAGGUUUGCCCUUCUGAGCGUGAGUAGUGAUGAGAUUAGAACACGAGGACCUUCCCUUCAAAUGAAGGCUCGGCUGGUCCUACACUGCUGCGUCUUCCUCCUCCAUCACUUGGAAGAAUCCAGCCGCGACUUGGACCAUGUUGUUUGGCAGAGUUGUGUGGGCAGGUGCCACAGUGUAGAAUGUGACUGAGCGCGGAAUCUGUUACAAGAGUGAGCACAUA